rnacentral:snoRNA from 1 species
GCAUGGGUUUGGAUUUCUGGCAAGCCCAUCCCCCUGAGCCUCUUAUAGUGUCCCAUGCCAGAGGAAACUGUAGCUCAGAACCACUGCCUGGCCUCUGCCUGUAGGCUGCUGGUACCGAAAUGGGUUGGGG